CCGCCUCCCAAGUUCGAGCAAUUCUCCUGCCUCGGCCUCUCGAGUAGCUUGUAUUUUAGCAGAGAUGGGGUUUCACCAUGUUGGCCAGGAUGGGCUCUACCUCCUGACCUCAUGAUCCACCCGCCUCAGCCUCCCAAAGUGCUGGGAUUACAGGCAUGAGCCCCAGCGCCCAGCCGUGGAUGUCCAUUCUUAAUUGCCUAUUAUCUAUUAGAGUAUCUUCA
rnacentral:lncRNA from 1 species